rnacentral:rRNA from 1 species
ACCGAUUGAUGGCUCAGUGAGGCCUUCGGACUGACUCAGGAAGGUUGGUAACGACCAUCCAGAGCCGGAAAGUUGGUCAAACUUGGUCAUUUAGAGGAAGUAAAAGUCGUAACAAGGUUUCCGUAGGUGAACCUGCGGAAGGAUCAUUAAUAAUACAAUGAUGCUCUUCUCAUUCCGGCCUCACAGCUGGCUUGGGUCGAACCAUCCCACCUCCUGUGAAUCAAAAAAAUACAUAAGCUUCGGUAGCAGGCCGGUUGGAAACAGCCGCGUCGUCAGCCUGCCGGCAGCGCCUAAACCAAACUUUUGUUUAUAAAUCUUGUCUGAAAAAUCUUCAUUUUAGAAUGAAAAAAUAAUUAAAACUUUCAACAACGGAUCUCUUGGUUCUCGCAUCGAUGAAGAACGCAGCGAAACGCGAUAGUUAAUGUGAAUUGCAGAAUUCAGUGAAUCAUCGAGUCUUUGAACGCACAUUGCGCCCAUUGGUAUUCCGAUGGGCAUGUCUGUUUGAGCGUCAUAUCAACACUCACCUUCCGGGUGGUUUUGAGCUUGAGGCCCUUUCGUAACUGUCAGGACUCGGCUUUAAAGUGGCACGCUCUGCGGGGUCGACUGACAACCUGAACAAAACAUAGUAAAUCUUACAACUGUUUGGUGCAGAAAGUCGGGCUGGCCUUCCGCCUGAACAACAAACCAAAAUUUCAUUAGGUUUGACCUCAGAUCAGACAAGGAUACCCGCUGAACUUAAGCAUAUCAAUAAGCGGAGGAAAAGAAACCAACAGGGAUUGCCUCAGUAACGGCGAGUGAAGCGGCAACAGCUCAAAUUUGAAAUCUGAAGUUUUUGACUUCCGAGUUGUAAUUUGAAGAGGAUGCUUCGGUUGUGGCCCUGGCCUAAGUUCCUUGGAACAGGACGUCGUAGAGGGUGAGAAUCCCGUACACGGCUGAUGGCCUACUUCCAUGUGUAGCUCCUUCGAAGAGUCGAGUUGUUUGGGAAUGCAGCUCAAAAUGGGUGGUAAAUUUCAUCUAAAGCUAAAUACUGGCGAGAGACCGAUAGCGCACAAGUAGAGUGAUCGAAAGAUGAAAAGCACUUUGAAAAGAGAGUUAAACAGUACGUGAAAUUGUUGAAAGGGAAGCGUUUGCAAUCAGACUUGCUUUCGGUUGAUCAACGUUCCUUCUGGUUCGUGCACUCUGCCGUUCGCAGGCCAGCAUCAGUUGGUGCGGUGGGACAAAGGCUCCGGAAAUGUGGCUCUCUUCGGGGAGUGUUAUAGUCCGGUGCGUAAUGCCAUCUGCUGCCGAUUGAGGCCCGCGAUUUUAUCGAGGAUGCUGGCUUAAUGGUUGUAAACGACCCGUCUUGAAACACGGACCAAGGAGUCUAACAUUUAUGCGAGUGUUUGGGUGUCAAACCCAUACGCGCAAUGAAAGUGAACGGAGGUGGGAGUCUUAGGAUGCACCAUCGACCGAUCCUGAUGUCUUCGGAUGGAUUUGAGUAAGAGCAUAACUGUUGGGACCCGAAAGAUGGUGAACUAUGCCUGAMUAGGGUGAAGCCAGAGGAAACUCUGGUGGAGGCUCGCAGCGGUUCUGACGUGCAAAUCGAUCGUCAAAUUUGGGUAUAGGGGCGAAAGACUAAUCGAACCAUCUAGUAGCUGGUUCCUGC